rnacentral:lncRNA from 1 species
ACUAGCAUAGUUUCUUUUUUAUUCAUUUCAUUUUCUGGUUCAAAACACAAAAAUCAAGUCUAGUGAAGCCAUGUGAGGCCUAUUUCGAUUCACUAGCAACUUGCUGUUCAUCUUGUUGUUCUUGUGUUGGUUAGAACUGGGGGUUUAGAGGUGUAGUGACAAAAAAAGUGGUAAGGGCAAUUUAUUGAAUAUAUGUAGCUGAAUCAUUUUUUUUACAUAUGAUGGAGUCAG